rnacentral:lncRNA from 1 species
CUUUUUUCCUAGAGACUUUCUUGUUAUCGUGAUUCACUCUGAUGGUAUUGCGAUUUUUGGGGGGUUUGUUUGUGCGUUUGUUUGUUUUACUUUGGUCGCUGUGUGGCUUACAGAGAGCAAAUUGACGAGAAAAACGUCAUUGAUUUAGAAGAGGAGAGUAAGGCUCACCAUCUUAACUUUGCUUUUAUCAUCUACCUCUUUCACUCUAGAGGGAAAAAGUUUACCCGUAAUUCAGAGCCCUGCAACUGAUCAGGGUCUUACAGUGGAAUGGUUGCUGGUUGUGUCCGGGAGAAGUGGUAACGAAGCGAACAAAUUUAAAGCAUUCUUUGCAAAAGGUGGUGUCCUGGAGAGAUGAACCGGGAAAACAGAAAGACAGAUGGAGGAAAGCAAAUGAAUCAGGAACACGCACUCUUUCAGGUCUGUUGCUGUCGUUAUUGCCUUUCCAUUCUAAAGAUGACCGUGGCUGGCUUGGUGGUCAUUGACAGAUUUAUCAGAGAUACUGUGUGCCCAGGUCCGUGGAGCUGAACCUUCCUUGUCAGAAGCAAUGGAAUGGUUGACAGUGCCCCAGUAAGUGAAUCUGAUAUUUAUUGAGAGGGUAACCAAUCUAAACUUUUUAUAUGGUAAAAAUUUUGGGGAAAAUUGGGGUGGGAA